ACAUGCCUACAACAUAGCGUUAAUGCACCGGAUCCCAUUAGAAAUUCACAGUUAAACACACUCAGGCUAGAGUAGUACUAGGAUGGGUGACCACCCAGGAAGUCCUAUUGUUUUACAUGCA
rnacentral:rRNA from 1 species